AGUGAACGCUGGCGGUAGGCCUAACACAUGCAAGUCGAACGGCAGCACAGUAAGAGCUUGCUCUUACGGGUGGCGAGUGGCGGACGGGUGAGGAAUACAUCGGAAUCUACUUUUUCGUGGGGGAUAACGUAGGGAAACUUACGCUAAUACCGCAUACGACCUACGGGUGAAAGCAGGGGAUCUUCGGACCUUGCGCGAUUGAAUGAGCCGAUGUCGGAUUAGCUAGUUGGCGGGGUAAAGGCCCACCAAGGCGACGAUCCGUAGCUGGUCUGAGAGGAUGAUCAGCCACACUGGAACUGAGACACGGUCCAAGCUCCUACGGGAGGCAGCAGUGGGGAAUAUUGGACAAUGGGCGCAAGCCUGAUCCAGCCAUACCGCGUGGGUGAAGAAGGCCUUCGGGUUGUAAAGCCCUUUUGUUGGGAAAGAAAAGCAGCAGGUUAAUACCCCGCUGUUAUGACGGUACCAAAAGAAUAAGCACCGGCUAACUUCGUG
rnacentral:rRNA from 1 species